rnacentral:rRNA from 1 species
AAGUGCGAAUGCUGACAUAAGUAACGAUAAAACGAGUGAAAAACUCGUUCGCCGGAAGACCAAGGGUUCCUGUCCAACGUUAAUCGGGGCAGGGUGAGUCGGCCCCUAAGGCGAGGCUGAAAAGCGUAGUCGAUGGGAAACGGGUUAAUAUUCCCGUACUUGGUAAAGCUGCGAUGUGGGGACGGAGAAGGUUAGGUUAGCAGACUGUUGGAUGUCUGUUUAAGUUGGUAGGUGGGGAGUUUAGGCAAAUCCGGACUUCCAUAACACUGAGAGAUGAUGACGAGUUUCUACGGAAAUGAAGUAACUGAUACCACGCUUCCAGGAAAAGCCACUAAGCGAAAGGCUUUACUAAACCGUACUGAAAACCGACACAGGUGGUCAGGUAGAGAAUACUCAGGCGCUUGAGAGAACUCGGGUGAAGGAACUAGGCAAAAUAGCACCGUAACUUCGGGAGAAGGUGCGCUGGCGUAGGUUGUAGGAGUAUACCUCCGAAGGCUGAACCAGUCGAAGAUACCAGCUGGCUGCAACUGUUUAUUAAAAACACAGCACUCUGCAAACACGAAAGUGGACGUAUAGGGUGUGAUGCCUGCCCGGUGCUGGAAGGUUAAUUGAUGGUGUUAUCGAAAGAGAAGCUCCUGAUCGAAGCCCCAGUAAACGGCGGCCGUAACUAUAACGGUCCUAAGGUAGCGAAAUUCCUUGUCGGGUAAGUUCCGACCUGCACGAAUGGCAUAAUGAUGGCCAGGCUGUCUCCACCCGAGACUCAGUGAAAUUGAAAUCGCCGUGAAGAUGCGGUGUACCCGCGGCUAGACGGAAAGACCCCGUGAACCUUUACUAUAGCUUGACACUGAACAUUGAAUUUUGAUGUGUAGGAUAGGUGGGAGCCUAAGAAGCAGUCACGCCAGUGAUUGUGGAGGCGUCCUUGAAAUACCACCCUUUAACGUUUGAUGUUCUAACGAAGAUUGCGAAACGCGGUCUCGGACAGUGUCUGGUGGGUAGUUUGACUGGGGCGGUCUCCUCCCAAAGAGUAACGGAGGAGCACGAAGGUUUGCUAAUCACGGUCGGACAUCGUGAGGUUAGUGCAAUGGUAUAAGCAAGCUUAACUGCGAGACAGACAAGUCGAGCAGGUGCGAAAGCAGGUCAUAGUGAUCCGGUGGUUCUGAAUGGAAGGGCCAUCGCUCAACGGAUAAAAGGUACUCCGGGGAUAACAGGCUGAUACCGCCCAAGAGUUCAUAUCGACGGCGGUGUUUGGCACCUCGAUGUCGGCUCAUCACAUCCUGGGGCUGAAGUAGGUCCCAAGGGUAUGGCUGUUCGCCAUUUAAAGUGGUACGCGAGCUGGGUUUAGAACGUCGUGAGACAGUUCGGUCCCUAUCUGCCGUGGGCGUUGGAGAAUUGAGAGGGGCUGCUCCUAGUACGAGAGGACCGGAGUGGACGCAUCACUGGUGURCCAGUUGUCUCGCCAGAGGCACUGCUGGGUAGCUAAAUGCGGAAGAGAUAAGUGCUGAAAGCAUCUAAGCACGAAACUCGCCUUAAGAUGAGUUCUCCCASWCWAUAAGWSUGUAAGGGUUGUUGGAGACUACGACGUAGAUAGGUCUGGUGUGUAAGCGGUGUGAGCCGUUGAGCUAACAGAUACUAAUUGCCCGAGAGGCUUAACUAU